rnacentral:rRNA from 1 species
UAGGGAAUCUUCGGCAAUGGGGGGAACCCUGACCGAGCAACGCCGCGUGAGUGAAGAAGGUUUUCGGAUCGUAAAGCUCUGUUGUUAAGGAAGAACGAGUGUGAGAAUGGAAAGUUCAUACUGUGACGGUACUUAACCAGAAAGGGACGGCUAACUACGUGCCAGCAGCCGCGGUAAUACGUAGGUCCCGAGCGUUGUCCGGAUUUAUUGGGCGUAAAGCGAGCGCAGGCGGUUAGAAAAGUCUGAAGUGAAAGGCAGUGGCUCAACCAUUGUAGGCUUUGGAAACUGUGUAACUUGAGUGCAGAAGGGGGGAGUGGAAUUCGAUGUGUAGCGGUGAAAUGCGUAGAUAUAUGGAGGAACACCGGUGGCGAAAGCGGCUCUCUGGUCUAUAACUGACGCUGAGGCUCGAAAGCGUGGGGAGCGAACAGG